rnacentral:rRNA from 1 species
GACGGACGCUGGCGGCGUGCUUAACACAUGCAAGUCGAACGAUGAAACCUAGCUUGCUAGGUCGAUUAGUGGCGAACGGGUGAGUAACACGUGACUAACCUGCCCCUUUCUCUGGGAUAACGCUCCGAAAGGAGUGCUAAUACCGGAUACUCACAUCGAGGCACAUGCCUUGGUGUGGAAAGUUUUUCGGAAAGGGAUGGAGUCGCGGCCUAUCAGCUUGUUGGUGAGGUAACGGCUUACCAAGGCGACGACGGGUAGCCGGCCUGAGAGGGCGACCGGCCACACUGGGACUGAGACACGGCCCAGACUCCUACGGGAGGCAGCAGUGGGGAAUAUUGCACAAUGGGCGCAAGCCUGAUGCAGCGACGCCGCGUGAGGGAUGAAGGUCUUCGGAUUGUAAACCUCUUUCAGUAGGGACGAAGCGAAAGUGACGGUACCUAAAGAAGAAGCACCGGCUAACUACGUGCCAGCCGCCGCGGUAA